UUUUAUUAUCUCAUACAGGUUUUGAGAAUCAGGAAUUGGAAAUGGCUUAGCUGAGUGGUUAUGGCUUGGGGUCUUUCUUGAAGUUGCAGUCAAGAUGUUGGCCUGGGCUGCAGUCAUCUGAAGGUUGGACUGGUGCUGGAAGAUCUGCUUCCAAGAUGGCACACUGCAUGGUUAUUGGUAGAACGCCUUAGUUCCUCACCAUGAGAGCCUCUCCAGAGGGCUACUUGAGUGUCCUCAUGACAUGAAAGCUGGCCUCCCCCACAGAGUGAGUGCUUCAGAGAGAGCAAGGAGAAAGUCAAAUACUUUUCAUGAUCUGCACCAUCACACACCACUGCUUCUGUCACAUUCUCUUCAUUAUAAUCAAGUCAUUAAGUUCAGCUCACAUUCAAGGGGAGGAGACUUAGGCUUCACCUGUUGGAGGGAGUAGUAUCAACAAAUUUGUGGACAUACUUUAAAACUCUCACACUACUCUAGGAAGGAAGGAAGGAAGGAAGGAUGGGACGGAGGGAGGGAGGGAGGGAGGAAGGAAGGAGGGAAGAAAGAAAGAAAGAAAGAAAGAAAGAAAGAAAGAAAGAAAGAAAGAAAGAAAGAAAGAAAGAAAGAAAGACCUUUUCCCCUUGUCCCCAUCCCAAUAAACAGUCAAACCCUAGCUUUCUGUUUCUGAAUGCCAUUGCCAGAGGAUAUUUUUAAGAGUGUCUAUAUUUUAGCGCAUGAAACCAAAAUCACUUGGAAGGUAAUAACCCUCAGUUCUUCUCCCUUAUCAACCCCAACACUUGCUGGAAAUGGAGGAAACAGAAGACUCUGACUGACUCUGAGAGAGAGAGGAGCUCCCCAAAACUGAAUGGGCAAUAGGGAUGGGGGUAUGGAUUCUUCCCUUCCAAAUUCCAACUCCAAAGAAUGGCAGAGCCCUGCCUACAGAUAUCCACAUGGUCUCCAACAGGGGAAAUUGUUGGAUGCCUGUGGAGGUGGCCACUAGGACUGAGGCCUCAAAGGUAGUAGGGGGUCUCUGUGGUAUCGCCCACCAUCCACUGAGAGGCACCUGCAAGGCCCUGAAGGGCCUUCUGGGAGCCUCAAGGACCACCAGAGAGCAAGAACAGGCUGACCACAGCAUCCCAACACCAAAACUACCCCAGUACCUUAGAGGCAGUCAGAGACUGAAGCCUCUUCCCCACUUGUAGGUGUCCAGGACCCAUCCCAGCACCCUCCUCCCCAAUCAUUCUAACAUGCCUGUAAGGAAGAAUAGGACGACCCCAUGUAGGCUGACCUGGGUAGGAAAUUCUCUCCACCUUGAAGAGUGAGACUCAGAAAAUAUAUGACCUGCUUUAGAACAAAUGAAAUAUCUGAACAACUCAUUGAGCAUCACAGUCUUUGUUCCUAAGCUCUCUUGAAAGUCAGGCAGAAUUUUAAUCAAACAAAAACAACAAACAAGGGUGAGAAGGGAAAGAACUACUGUGUCUGUUAGCCCAACUGUCUGUCAGGAAAUUGAGGCACGCGAUUUUAUUUAACCCUCAUGGUGGGAAUUCUUAUUCCCAUUUUACAGCUGGAAAAAGGACAGCAGAUUUAUGGAAUACCUUCAUAUGUCAGGCAUUUGCCUGCAGCUUUAGAAUCUUCCAACAACACUGCAAUGAGCUAUUAUUACGUCUUACAAAUGAGGAAUUGGAGACUCAGAGAACCUAGAAAAGCAGCCCAAGACCACAGAGCAAGCGAUAGAGUCAGCUGCCCAGAGCUGAGUCUCUCCUUGCUGAGAAAGAAUCAAGAAAGAAUCUUUGUUUAAUGCAUCAUCGUCUGUCUUUAAAAGAAUCAAUAUUUAUCUCCUGCCAAAAGUCCUCAGUUGCCAUCCUGUCCUUGCAGCUCCUGAGAGCUUCCUGAGGAGUGUUGAGGGGGCAAAGGGUGGCCGGAGAGGAGUGCCCUGAGCCUCACAGACAGUGGUGCCCACCGCAGGGACCGGGAGAGCCACUGUCAGCUCCACAAAGCGCUUCUGUGGUAAUUUGACAGGAUUAAGGGGAUUAAUACAUUAAUGCAUUAUUAGCACUUUUAUAGGAGAUUUUCAGCGAGUUGAGCACGGUGAUCCCUAUUUCCUGUUAUAUAAACCGGCAGUAAUUGUCUUAAUUGGCCCAUUGUUGCUGAUGGGAGCAGAAAGGGAACAGCCUGAUUAUCUCCUGGCCUGUGGUUCUGAGUCUGGCCACAGCUCCAGGCCAAGCCAGGAAGGCUCGGGGAAACUGAGUCUGAGUGUGGCUCUCUAAACAUCUAGUUCUAUGGGAGGUGCAAUCCAGAGUCUCUGCUCCAACCAGUGGAGCAGAAAGUUACCCCGGGAGAACCCAAAGGCCAGGAUUCCAGCUCCCACUGUGCAGCUCACUGACUGGCGACUUGGCCACCCUAAGCCUCCAUUUCUACACCUACCAAUGUGGAUGGUGAUUAAAUCCACCUCAUGGUGUUGCUGAAAAAAUGCAGUGAGCCACUGUCAGUGAACAUGCUUUGGCAAUGGGGCAGGCCUGUGCUCAUAGGAGGGAGGGUUAUCAUUUAUUUGGAUGGACUGAAUUGGGGAUUUUGCCUUUUGAUGUUCAUCUGUUGGGAGAGAAUAAUAACAUCCCCCAAGGGAAAGUAGGUGGAAUAUGCAGGAGGGCCUGGAAGACAUCCCUGGGGGCAAGGCAGCCAGGCAAGGUAAGGCCAGUGGGUUGUGAAGGGUCCAGCAUGCUCCAACACUGAGGCCCAGACACCUCACGUCCCUCCUACCAGCCGAGCAGCAGGUCACACAAGAAGAUGUCUGCAACUGUGGAACCCAGUUCCCUGGGGUUUAAUUUUCUUUGCUAAUUAAGUGUCUGAGUCGGACCCCCUGCAGGAGGUAUGUGUCUGCAGCUUCAUGGAUGAGAAUAAUAAUAAAGCCCUAGAAUCACAGCUUCAGAGGGGUCCUGAAAGGACUUUUCCUAGAAACAAACAAACAUAUCUUUUAUCUUCCUCUCUCUACGAAUCUAGGCUGGGUUGCAGGAAAGAUGGUGUCAGAGGGCCCCAAGCUUUGUUAUCUGGAAGAGAAUGACCUGGUGGAUUGGGAGGUCUGGGUGAUCACUCUGACUGAGAAGCCAAGGAUGAAAUACAAGGUGAAGAGUAGCAAAGAGACAAGAUUGGGGUGGAUGCAAUAGUUAGUGGACAAGCCUAACUGUUGUGAAGUCUGAGCUCAAGUAGGGAUCAUAGCCAUGGAGCAAAGGGGAUGAGACUUGAAUCACCUAGACUUGGUAACCCAUCCAGGAAGCAUGAGGAACAGAAAUAAGAUGCUGUGCACAAAUAUUUCUGGUUCCCCCAUUUCUGGGCACAUAGUGGGUUUGCAAGUUCUGCUCCCCUUGUGGUUGAUGGAGCCAUGUGGCCAGCUCUGGCAGAUGUGUUGGGAGUGUAAGGGCCAGAUGUCACUUCUUGGCUGAAUAGUUAAUUAUCAGUGUGAGAUCCUUCUUCUUCUCCAGGCCCAACAACUGGCAAAGUUUGCAAUGGUGGCUCUUCCAUUGGCCUAGGACCCUGAGUGGUUAUAGUAAGCGUGGAUCACCUGGCAAGCUGCACUAUACCUGUAGCAUGAACAACAAAUAAACCCUUGUUGUUUUAAGCCCCUAAGAAAUCGGAGUUAUUUGUUAUCAGUAUACAACCUAGGCUGUCCUGACUGAUACAGAAAAUGUGAACUUUAUAGCCAGGGGCCAGUGAACACCAUCAGGAUAGUAACAUCCAUAUAAAAAAAAAAAAA
rnacentral:lncRNA from 1 species